GUGAGCGUAGCUCAGUUGGUUAGAGUCCCGGAUUGUGAUUCCGGUUGUCGUGGGUUCGAAUCCCAUCGCUCACCCCA
rnacentral:tRNA from 2 species